AUCGCUGUCUUGGGCCUGUGUCCUUGAAACAGCCUUGUCAGAAUGUGAGGAACAGUGACAUGCCCCAGCUUAAAAUGAAGAAAUCCAUGCCUAUUACUGCCUUUAUUUUAGAAACAGCAUAAAUGUACUCCCUGUACUGGGACAGGGUGGGAGUGACUACUGGGGCAGCAGCUCUGCUGGAAAGGACCAUGGGAACCUGUGGAACAACAGGCUGUGGUGUCCCGGCAGCAGGAGAGGUUACCCCUUGGUGAUUUUCUGGAGCAGGUUGCCCAGAAAGGCUAGGAGAACACCAUCCCUGGAACAUUUCAUUCCUGUCUGGACAAAGCUGGGAAUGGCCUGGUCAGACCCAAGAGCUGCCCUUGCAUGGAGCAGGAGGUUGGAGUAGGAGCCUUCUGAGGUCCCUGCCAACCUGGUUAUUCUGUGCAUCUAUGACUGCUUGACAGUGAGUGUUGGUAGAUCUCCAUACAGUGUUGCAGUCGUGAGCAUUGAAGUUCCUGGCUGGAUUGCAGUAUCAUUUAAAAGACAAACUGUUACCUGCCUGCUAUUCCUCAGACAAUACAU